AUACUUUAUAACAAAAAAAUAAUAUUGUUAUUUAGUAUUAUUUUAUAUGUGCAUAUAUAGCUGUGUAUAUAAAUAUGCUUAAUUGUAAAUAUAUAAUAAAGAAACUAAAAAAAUAUUAACACAAUUAAAUUGCUUUUGAUUUUAUUUUGUAAAAAUUUACAUUUUUUAUUAAAUUGAUAAAUUCACGUUCUUUUAUAGAAAAAUAAAUUUCACUCAAUAAAUUUGAACAUUUACAAAUAUAAAUAUAAUAUAUUUAUAUAUAUAUUAUUAAAAAAAAAUAAACUAGUGCAAUAUGGAAAAAAAAGCAAGUUUACCUUAUGAGACGUUCGAAAUCAAGAAAAGCGUGUUUUAUAUGCCUAAAGAGUUCCAACCAAAUGUGAAGUAUGGAUUUUUUAGUAAUUUUUUAUACGGGAAAUAUUCAAAAUACUAUCUAAAAAGUAUAAUAGCAGUAUCAGCUCAAAUAUUCGGAGGGUUUUUACUUUUUUACUACCCACUUGAUAAAGUCCAUUGCAACAUUCGUAGAUUUGUAAUUUAUUUUAAAAAAUAUAAAAAAAAAUAAAAAUGCAUAAACAAACACAACAUGAGGACGCAUUAUAUAUAUUGCGCUUGUAUUUGUGUAUUAGAUAUAUUUGCUUUUAGAUUUUAUUUUGUAUUACACUGUUUUAAGUUGCAAAUGUAUUUAUGUAUGCAAAUACACGUGUUGUCAAUUUUUUUUUUUUUUUUUUUUUUUCUUUUACUUUUUUUAGAUGUGAAUUUUUUUUUGUAAAAAAAAACAUGUUUUUUUUUUUUUUUUUUUUUUUUUUUUUUACAAUUACAGAAGAGAAAUUUAAAAAAGGAGAAUUAGGACAUGUGUCAACACUAUAUAUAUACAUAUAUUAUAGUAUUAACAUAUUAUAAUACUAAAGGAAAACUAAAAGUGGUAUAUUUUUUUUUACACAUUAUUAAUGUAUAAUUUUUUUAAAUUGUACAUUAAAUAACUUUUUUUUUUUUUUUUUUUUUCUUUUUAUAUAAAAAACUAUAUAAUUUGUUUAUAUAAAAUAUGUGCUUAUAAUAAAUAAUAAAUAAUUUUUAUGGAAAGAGGGGAA
rnacentral:lncRNA from 1 species